UACGUAGGGAGCGAGCGUUGUCCGGAUUUAUUGGGCGUAAAGCGCGCGUAGGCGGUUCGGUAAGUCGGAUGUGAAACUCCAAGCUCAACUUGGAGCCUGCAUCCGAAACUGCUGUGACUUGAGUCUGGUAGGGGGAACACGGAAUACCUGGUGUAGCGGUGAAAUGCUUAGAUAUCAGGUGGAACACCAGUGGCGAAGGCGGUGUUCUGGGCC
rnacentral:rRNA from 1 species